rnacentral:lncRNA from 1 species
UUGUGUAUUGAUUAUGAAACAACAUAUACACACACAAUGUUGCCAGCUAUUUGAUGAAUGCAGACAAUAAAGGAAAAUUAAAAUUAAGAAAAAUAAAUCAAAUUAGAGUGAUUUGAUUCUUUUUCAAAAUACAAAUAAACUUAAAUAAAAAUCAACUAAAAACCACAAUGAUAUCAAAUUUGAUUGCUAUAUGUCAACACCCCCUCAAGUUGGUGCAUAUAUGUCUAGCAUGCCAAACUUGUUUACAAGAAAUUCAAAAUCAGACUUGAAAAGACCUUUAGUAAUGAUGUCAACAAGUUUUUGUGAAGCAGGGACAAAAGGUAUGCAAAUCAAACCUGCAUCUACUUUCUCUUUUAUAAAAUGUCUAUCAAUUUCAACGUGUUUGGUUCGGUCUUGUUGAACCGGAUUUUGAAAAAUACUAAGUGUUGCCUUGUUGUCUCCAUGUAGCUUCAUUGGAAAAGUUAUAUGAAGUUUAAGCUCCUCUAAGAUUAUUUGCAUCCAUAGGAUUUCACAAACACCUUGAAGAGGAUGGUGAGGAGGGAGAAGCAUUUUUGCGUGCCGAUUGUUUGAUUCGUGCCAUUUUUGUUUGUGAGUAAGUGAUUUAGAGUGAGAGAGAUGCAAGAGAAGACUGGUAUUUAGAUAGAAUCUUGAUGCAGAUUUUAGGGAAAAAAAGGUGAAGAGGUUGAAAAAGAAACUGUUUUUUCUGACUUGAGAAGAGGAAAAGAAAAUAAUGAUUGUUUUUCUGACCAAUUGUUGUCAACCUAGGGAAGGAGGAAAAUAAUUUUGGGGGAUAUAAAGCUUGUGUCAGCACUCUAUCUUCAGACAGAGAGACGCAUGUAUUAUAUGUCAAGAUUUGCCUUUUUGGUUUUGAGAGGGAAAGUGAUGACUCUGAAGAGAUUGUUGGUUUUUCAGAACGGAGAAUGAUGCUCGCGAAAUGGAGACUGAUAAACAUUCUCCGUUUUCUGCAAAAGCAGAAUUUAUCCAGAAUUUUCUGGGUUUUUCAUGAUUUUCAACUUUUCUUUGAUCAAAUUGAAACUAUCCUCGACAAGAGGCUUUG